CCUACGGGAGGCAGCAGUGGGGAAUAUUGGACAAUGGGCGAAAGCCUGAUCCAGCAAUGCCGCGUGAGUGAUGAAGGCCUUAGGGUUGUAAAGCUCUUUUACCAGGGAUGAUAAUGACAGUACCUGGAGAAUAAGCUCCGGCUAACUCCGUGCCAGCAGCCGCGGUAAUACGGAGGGAGCUAGCGUUGUUCGGAAUUACUGGGCGUAAAGCGUACGUAGGCGGUUAUUCAAGUCAGAGGUGAAAGCCCGGGGCUCAACCCCGGAACUGCCUUUGAAACUAGAUAGCUAGAAUCUUGGAGAGGUUAGUGGAAUUCCGAGUGUAGAGGUGAAAUUCGUAGAUAUUCGGAAGAACACCAGUGGCGAAGGCGACUAACUGGACAAGUAUUGACGCUGAGGUACGAAAGCGUGGGGAGCAAACAGGAUUAGAUACCCUGGUAGUCCACGCCGUAAACGAUAGAUAACUAGACUGUUCGGGCACUUGGUGCCUGAGUGGCGCAGCUAACGCAUUAAGUUAUCGCCUGGGGAGUACGGUCGCAAGAUUAAAACUUAAAGGAAUUAGACGG
rnacentral:rRNA from 1 species